GGAAAUUUUAGACAAUUAUUGUUAUCGCAGGCUGGUAUUGUAUUCUUUACAUUUUAUAGAAGUGCAGUUAAAGACAGGGUAAUACGAUUAUAAUAAUUGCGAAAUACAGAAUAUAACGUAACGGAAAUACAGAGCGGAGAAGUUUCAACGACACCGCACUGAGAUUAUCGAGAUACGAAGAUGUUGAGUAAAAUCAAUUUAGUUUUAGAUAUACUGAGUGGAAUCGAGGAAUGA